GGCUGGGUCCUCAUUGUUUUGUGGGGCCGGUCCUGUUCUGAUGUCUCCUGCAGAGAAAUGAAUAAAUAAAUAAAUAACAAAACAGCCUCAGGGACCGUGGCAGCUCCGGCCGGAGGAAAACAAGGCUCUUCCUCCUCGGAGAGUCAGAGGCGUCCACCAGAAGGUGUCCGGGCUUCCGGAACACGACUCCUCCCUUCCGGUUGCUUUCCAUGUCCCGAGGCCCUGGGACUCCAAACCCUUCCCGGUUGCUCUGUGGCUGAAGCGUGGGAUACUGUACCCUGCAGGGCAGGAGGCGAAGCCCUCAGAAAUCAGCCUGUGUCUCCCCCUGGGGAAAUCGAGGCAGCCGCAGCCACGACUCCCACCCUGGGCUCCCCCUCGAGUCUUCCGGGUAGGCCGAGGCAGGCUGAUUUCUCAGCCUCAGGACUGACUGAGUGUGCUGCAGCCCGGGCUCCCAGCUGGGCUCAUUUCCUGCUCCCACGCAGGGCGGGGUGCUCAGGGGACCCCAACCUCCUCACCCCAGACCCCUGUCCUGGGCUUGGGGACCUCCACCCCACUUCCUCCUCCUGCCCACCCUGCCGGGUGGCUCGGCUCCGGUCCCACUUGGCAUUUCCUUGCACGUGACGAAUGCGUGUGCGUUCACGGUUGUGUGCGGUUACUACUAUGAGCGUCGUACGGUCACACGUGCAGCCGUGGCCGCGUUAGGGAUGCAGCUGUGUUCUCUCCAUGCUGUCACGGGGUCCUGAGAACGGACACAGAAAUGAAAGAGGAAAGAGAGGAAUUCGGUCGGUGCACACGCACACGCACACGCACAUGCACGCAGACACACACCCGCCCCGGACAAACCCUGUGUGUGCAAAACACGAGCAACGAGCACCCUGGUAGGAAAAGACUGAUUUCAGCACCACCUGAAAGGCAGGAGGAGCAACAGGAUACACGUGACCCAUAAAGGUGGCCAUCACCGGGCCUGAUGGGCACGCCUGUCCCCCGGCACUAGGGAGGCUGAGGCAGGAGGAUUCCCCCAACUUCCAUGUCCGCUUGAGCUACACGGCAAGACCCUGCCUCAACAACAACAACAAAAAGAUGAACCAGAGGGACAUGAGUCCAUAGCCGUGUGAAAGUGCGUAUAGGUGAGGAUAUAUUUAUUUCUUUAUAACUACGUAACUACUUUAUUCAUAAUUGUAAAUAAUCAUAACUGUAGAUAUGCAUGUACUCAUAACUAUAAAUGUAUUUAUAAGUAUAAA
rnacentral:lncRNA from 1 species